GUUUUUAUUUAGUAUAUCAUAAUCAAUACAAUGUUUUUUAGCUACCCAUCAUCUGUGAUGUACAAUAGUGUAUGUUCUGCUAUUGUGCGAGCAUAUCCAAAUCUAUGUGACAGUGUCAUAGUUAUGAAAGGCAAAUCCUCUAAGUUAUAUGCCACUUGGUUGGAUAGUCUAAGAACUAAAUUUAAAUCAGAACGUUCUAAAUAUUCGAAUGAUGAGUCUGUUAAAGCUCAUAAAAAGUUUGCGUCCUAAAGGAUUCACAGUCAGUUGACUGAUACUAAUGAAACUGUGAAGAUAACUAGAUGUGAGUUGCAGGUUGCAAAUGACUGUUUAGAAGACCCUUCAAGUGUAGAGCAGCAUGUAACAUUAAUGUUAAAGGAGUACAGUAAAAAUAAUCCUGACACGAUUAUUAUAUCUGAUAGAAUGAGCCGGACUUAUGUAUCAAGACGAAUUUUUAUUAAAACCAACACUACACAAGUCAUAUUGCAAAGGUUUCCUUGUUUAGCAAUGGAAAUUGAGUUGUUUGAAGAAGCAAUGCGAAUCAUUGGAUUAGAUUUGAAAAUUAAGAUAACAAAGUUUUUUCAAAAUCGUUCAGAAAAAAUUCUGGAAAUUUGCAAAUCAAAGUUGCCUUCAAUAAAAAAAACACCAUUUUUGCAAACCGUCAAUAUUU